UGGGGAAUAUUGGACAAUGGGCGGAAGCCUGAUCCAGCCAUGCCGCGUGUGUGAUGAAGGCCUUAGGGUUGUAAAGCACUUUCGCCGAUGAAGAUAAUGACGGUAGUCGGAGAAGAAGCCCCGGCUAACUCCGUGCCAGCAGCCGCGGUAAUACGAAGGGGGCAAGCGUUGUUCGGAUUUACUGGGCGUAAAGCGUACGUAGGCGGAUGAUUAAGUCAGGGGUGAAAUCCCGGGGCUCAACCUCGGAACUGCCUUUGAUACUGGUCAUCUUGAGUCCGGGAGAGGUGAGUGGAACUCCUAGUGUAGAGGUGAAAUUCGUAGAUAUUAGGAAGAACACCAGUGGCGAAGGCGGCUCACUGGCCCGGAACUGACGCUGAGGUACGAAAGCGUGGGGAGCAAACA
rnacentral:rRNA from 1 species